GACAAAAAUGAUUUCACAGACUCAUCUCAUCUGGCUCCUAGUGCUCUGGAUUCAGGACACAAAGGGGCAGAUUGUGCUGACUCAGACUCCAGGAUCCCUGGCAGUGUCUCCAGGAGACAGAGUCAUCAUCAACUGCAAAGCCAGUUCAAGUGCUUCUAGCAAUAUACAGUGGUACCAACAGAAAUCAGGACAAGCUCCUAAGCGCCUUGUCUACACUGUUUCCACCUGUCCUUUUGGGAUCCCAAACCGGUUCAGUGGCAGUGGGUCUGGCAUCGACUUCACAUUUACAGUCAGCUGGGUAGAAGCUGAUGAUACUGGAGAUUAUUAUUGUCAACAAGAUCAAAGCUGGCCUCUCACAUCUGUUGGUCAGCAUCAGAUCUCAGGUGUAUCAAGAUGA